rnacentral:SRP_RNA from 1 species
GCAGGGUGCGGUGGUGCGUGCCUGUAGUCCCAGCUACUGGGAGGCUUAGGUGGGAGGAUCGCUUGAUCCCAGGAGUUCUGGGCUGUAGAUCGGCGCUAUGCCGAUCGAGUGUCCACACUAAGUUCAGCAGCAAUAUGGUGACCUUCUGGGAGCUCGGGACCAGUAGCUUGCCUAAGGACGGGUGAACCGGUCCUGGUCGGAAACGGAGAACGUCAAAACUCCAGUGCUGAUCAGUAGUGGGACUGUGCCUGUGAAUAGCCACUGCACUCCAGCCUGGGCAACAGAGAGACCCCGUCUCUA